AUUGAACGCUGGCGGCAGGCUUAACACAUGCAAGUCGAGCGGGGACUUCGGUCCUAGCGGCGAACGGGUGAGGAAUGCUUGGGAAUCUGCCCAGUAGUGGGGGAUAACGUUUCGAAAGGAACGCUAAUACCGCAUACGUCCUACGGGAGAAAGGGGGGGAUCUUCGGACCUCUCGCUAUUGGAUGAGCCCAAGUCGGAUUAGCUAGUUGGUGAGGUAAAGGCUCACCAAGGCGACGAUCCGUAGCUGGUCUGAGAGGAUGAUCAGCCACACUGGAACUGAGACACGGUCCAGACUCCUACGGGAGGCAGCAGUGGGGAAUAUUGGACAAUGGGCGAAAGCCUGAUUCAGCCAUGCCGCGUGUGUGAAGAAGGCCUUCGGGUUGUAAAGCACUUUAAGCGAGGAGGAAUGGCUCUUGGUUAAUAACCUUGAGCAGUGACGUUACUCGCAGAAUAAGCACCGGCUAACUCUGUGCCAGCCUCCGCGGUAAGAC
rnacentral:rRNA from 1 species